rnacentral:lncRNA from 1 species
CAAUUGAAAUGAUCUGCUCUCAGUGUUUAGAAACUAAGCACUUGUCGGAUCAUCUGGGUCUGGUGUCCAGUUUAGUCACAAAUCUAUGAUUUCCUUCCUUCUUAUAUUAUUAUGGAUUCAAUUUUAGAAGGCAACUAUUUAGAAUUUCUAUACACAUCAAACAUUAUUCACUGUGUCUAAAAUAAAAUUAUAUUAUAAUUAAGAUUUGAACACUAAUAGCUUGCUUUUUUUAUCUAAAACACUCUCAUUAUUAAUCAUCCUUCGCUAAUUCAACCAAUCUGGAAUACAGUACUUCCCAGUGUGUUAUCUUGAUUUUAUUAUCCAUUCUCUCAGAGGAAUACAGAUGCGGAAGAUCUCCUUUCUACUUACUCUCUUGGUUAUAC